rnacentral:tRNA from 1 species
AAAGUUUUAGUAUAACUUAGUAUAAUUUAUUGUCAAUAAAUAGGUUUUAAACUUUA